rnacentral:sRNA from 1 species
AGUCGGUGCUCCGGGGAGGUCACCUGGCGAGGAGGUAGGCUUGGGUGCUGGAGAAACCGGGGUAGAUGGGAUGUCAGCUCAGGCUGGAGACCAUGCGUUGGGGAUCGGCGCUGGGUGGGUCAAUGGGGUCGCCGCAUCCUCAUCACUUCCCAGUUGGCACCGAAAGCUUGGCUCACUUUCCCACUGAGUGAGGUGUUCUGCACAGAAUUGAAGGGCAGAGAAACCCCCAAAGGCCCUGAGCCCUCUGUAUGUACACACAUCGGCACAACCCCCUCCAGCUGAUCUGGAAGCCCCGUGGCUUUACCGGGCUGUUGGUCUUCUCAUGCCUCAAAGAUGGGGUGGAAGGCCAGUAGGAGGGCAGACCAGUGUGGAUGGGGAGUCUGUGAGUGCUCUGGCAAGUGCACCGGGAUGAAACUGGAGGGAGGGACCCUUCAGUGGUGUCUGAUUGAUACAUAGAUGAUGAUCUUAGCUUCUUCUGUGUCUCUUGAAGUGCCAACAAGAGGAAUAACUGAAUAAAUUGGUUGCUGUUACUAAGG